GCCUAGUUAGCUUAGUUGGUAGUGCGUCUGCCUUGUAAGCGCUAGGCCGCGGGUUCGAUUCCCGCGGCGGGGCG
rnacentral:tRNA from 1 species